rnacentral:rRNA from 1 species
UACAGAGGGUGCGAGCGUUAAUCGGAAUUACUGGGCGUAAAGCGUGCGUAGACGGUCAAGUAAGUCGGGUGUGAAAGCCCCGGGCUCAACCUGGGAAUUGCAUUCGAGACUGCGUGGCUAGGGUGCGGAAGAGGGAAGCGGAAUUUCCGGUGUAGCGGUGAAAUGCGUAGAUAUCGGAAGGAACACCAGUGGCGAAAGCGGCUUCCUGGUCCAGCACCGACGUCAGGCACGAAAGCGUGGG